AAAGAAUAAAGAGGACAAGAUAAAGAAAGGUAUGAUCCAUGACAAACAUUGGAUAUAUGAAGAAAUAGUUACUCCUUCAUGGACUUCUCAGAUGAGUAUCACUAAUACAAACCAUCAUCGAAUAAGUUUUCAGCGAAAUAUGUAAUGUGGACUCUUCAGAAGAAACAGUACUCCACUACUAAUAUUUAGCU